CCGGAGCGACACAGUGCGUCA
rnacentral:siRNA from 1 species